CCUACGGGAGGCAGCAGUGGGGAAUAUUGCACAAUGGGGGAAACCCUGAUGCAGCGACGCCGCGUGAGUGAAGAAGUAAUUCGUUACGUAAAGCUCUAUCAGCAGGGAAGAAAAUGACGGUACCUGAGUAAGAAGCCCCGGCUAACUACGUGCCAGCAGCCGCGGUAAUACGUAGGGGGCAAGCGUUAUCCGGAUUUACUGGGUGUAAAGGGCGCGUAGGCGGGGCGCCAAGUCUGGAGUGAAAUGCCGAAGCUUAACCGCGGAACUGCUUUUGAAACUGGCGAACUAGAGUGUGGGAGGGGUAAGCGGAAUUCCUAGUAUAGCGGUGAAAUGCGUAGAUAUUACGAGGAACACCGAUGGCGAAGGCGGCUUGCUGGACCGUAACUGACGUUGAGGCUCGAAAGCGUGGGGAGCAAACAGGAUUAGAUACCCGGGUAGUC
rnacentral:rRNA from 1 species